CUCUCUUCUCAGGCUUUUUGAGUAGGAACAAGUGUAGCAUCUGUUCUUAGUUUCUCAUCUGAUACGUCCUAUAUCCGGGGACCUUAUAUUAGAUGGGUUUUGGAGGACAGUGCCAAUUCCUAAGCCUGCUUACGUCACCUUAUGCGCAUUGCUGAUAGGGCAGUUUCUGCAGUUUCAGCGCAUCCCAC